UUUCUAGCAGAUGGUGGUCUUAAGGGUCCCACACAUUAACAGUCCGCCUGCAGGCUCUGGUCGGCAGGUUGCCUGAGAGUCAUUGACCAUCGAUACAAAAUUUACAAAAUCGUCAGGAGAACUGUGAGUCUGUGAUCUUUUCCGAUUAACUGCCAGGCGGCGGCCUGCCGGCGAACUGUUAAUGUGUGGGGC